UCCAGUAUUGACGGUGCUGUUGA
rnacentral:miRNA from 1 species